ACGUUCCCACGAGUUAUGCGUUUUUUAUGAAAUAAACAUGAUAAAACUAGUAAACAGGUCAAACUACACAUUCUGAACGAUUGUACUUUUAAGCAGUGUAUUAAUAAAUUACAAAAGUAGCAUACUAGCUAAUGAAAAGUUUG